rnacentral:misc_RNA from 1 species
GCUGAAUAUCAACUGGAAAGUUAGAAACUGUAUCGGACAAAGCACCAUCGAGCAUGUCAAAUGGCCGCCCAUUGAAAACAUCUUCUAGCCUAUUUUCCCACCUAUCUAAGGCUGCCGGGGUAAUAUAUGAUGCGUUUGGGCCAUCAACAAGUUCAUCUGUUCUUCUGCACCAUACAUAUAUUGCCCAGAUAGCCCUUCUUCUCUCGGGAGUCAUUAGCAUAGUUCCUAAGUUAAACGUCUUUGCAUACUCUGCACAUACUUCACCACACCUAUCAUAUGCUUCACUCAACAAGCCCAAAUUCCCCGGAAUAGGUAUAUCCGGCUUCACUUCUAACUCAUUGGUAGAUCUCAGUUGCCUCUUCACCAAGGCUGCCUGCCUCAAAACCACAUCAUAGACCAUCUGUUCCGAUGUCAUCGUCCGUUCUCCAGAUGGAGUAGCCAAAAUAGCAGACCGUACAGAAAAUUUCCGUCCAUUAUUAGUUUGCUUUCCACCACCUCUAUUGAUUCUCUCAUUGGACACCAAAUUCCUAUGCCUCGAUGAAUCAAAAAAACGGUUUCCCUCCCGGACUGAUUCCAUGAAACUUGUCCCAUUUGAGACGUCACAAGGAGAAACAACCCAUAACAAGGCAACAGACAUUCUGAGCAAGAAAACCUUGGUUGUCUAAAACAAUUCCAAGAUUUUUGUCUUUCUUUUUGUCACCUUCCAAACUUUACUUAGUUUAUAGAAAAUAAAUUACUCCUAGUAGAUUCCCACUAGAGAAUAUUUCCACUCUCAAACAAAAUUACCCACUUUCUCUUCUGUAGAAAAAGAUUAUAAAAAGACCACAGACAGGCAAACCAACUUUUCCUCACUCAAACAGGAGUAACCUGUUUCUUGACUUACAAAUUCCACCCUCUCUUUCAACAAUGGCCACUCUGAAUUUCUGUAAUUGUAUAGUCACACAAAGCGAAGUCAAAAUUUAAAAUUUAAAGUUUAUGAAUUCUGAAAAUUUCUAAUAUAUUUUAACUUACUAAAUUAUUACGAAGUUUGACUAAAGUUACGACUAAAUGCGUAACUUACCCUCUAACUCCACCCCCUGUAUAUAACAAAAACACUAGCAAAGCAAUAGAAAGUUAUAAAGAUUGCAACUUUACAUAUCAAGAAGUGAAGGGAAACAAACCUUUGUUUCAAGAAAUCAAGAAUGGCCACUUCCAAGAAUGGAGAAUGCAAUUUGUUGGUUUUUUCUGCACUUUUUGCUCCACACAUUUUGGUCAUUU